rnacentral:rRNA from 2 species
UAAAGCCCCUUCAACGAGUCGAGUUGUUUGGGAAUGCAGCUCUAAAUGGGAGGUAAAUUUCUUCUAAAGCUAAAUAUUGGCCAGAGACCGAUAGCGCACAAGUAGAGUGAUCGAAAGAUGAAAAGCACUUUGGAAAGAGAGUCAAAAAGCACGUGAAAUUGUUGAAAGGGAAGCGCUUGCCGCCAGACUUGCCUGCAGUUGCUCACCUAGGCGUUCAGCCUGGGGCACUCUUCUGCAGGCAGGCCAGCAUCAGUUUGGGCAGCCGGAUAAAGGUCUCUGACACGUUCCUACCUUUGUGUAGGCCAUAUAGGGGAGACGUCAUGCGGUUAGCCUGGACUGAGGUCCGCGCAUUGCUAGGAUGCUGGCGUAAUGGCUGCAAGCGGCCCGUCUUGAAACACGGACCAAGGAGUCUAACAUCUAUGCGAGUGUUUGGGUGUCAAGCCCGAGCGCGCAAUAAACGUGAACGGAGGUGGGAACCCUCUUUGGGGGUGCACCAUCGACCGAUCCUGAUGUCUUCGGAUGGAUUUGAGUAAGAGCAUAGCUGUUGGGACCCGAAAGAUGGUGAACUAUGCUUGAAUAGGGUGAAGCCAGAGGAAACUCUGGUGGAGGCUCGCAGCGGUUCUGACGUGCAAAUCGAUCGUCAAAUUUGGGCAUAGGGGCGAAAGA